rnacentral:tRNA from 1 species
GGAUGCGUAGUUCAAUGGUAGAACAUUCGGCUCCAGACCGAAAAACGAGAGUUCGAUUCUCUCCGUGUCCA